rnacentral:rRNA from 1 species
UGGGGAAUAUUGCACAAUGGAGGGAACUCUGAUGCAGCGACGCCGCGUGAGUGAUGAAGGAAUUCGUUUCGUAACACUCUGUUCUAUGGGAAGAAAAGGACUGUACCAUAGGAGAAAGCUCCGGCUAAAUACGUGCCAGCAGCCGCGGUAAUACGUAUGGAGCGAGCGUUGUCCGGAAUUAUUGGGCGUAAAGGGUGCGCAGGCGGCUUUACAAGUUGGAUGUGAAAUAUUGUGGCUCAACCACAAACGUGAAUCCAAAACUGCAAAGCUUGAGUUAAGGAGAGGUAAGUGGAAAUCCUGGUGUAGCAGUGGAAUGCGUAGGUAUCAGGAGGAAUACCGGUGGCGAAGGCGACUUCCUGGACUAAAACUGACGCUCAGGCACGAAAGCGUGGGGAGCAAACAGG